rnacentral:rRNA from 1 species
AAACACUGAUAGGAUCUAUUCAAUCCUAUCCGCCUGAAGAUUACGGACACUAGUCUAAAAGCCAAAGGACUUGGCGGUGCUUUUCACCCCCCUAGAGGAGCCUGUUAUGUAACCGACAACCCCCGUUAAACCUCACCCUCCCUUGCUUUAUCUAUCUAUAUACCACCGCCGUCAGCUUACCCUGAGAAGGAACAAUGGCAUGCAGAAUUGGCACAGCCCAAAACGUCAGGUCGAGGUGUAGUGAAUGGGAGGGGAAGAAAUGGGCUACAUUUGCUGAAACAGCAAAUACGAAUGUUUUAUUGAAACAUAAAACUGAAGGAGGAUUUAGUAGUAAGUGAGAAAUAGAGUGUCUC